rnacentral:rRNA from 1 species
CGGGAGCUUUCCAUGCAGUCGAACGGCAGCUUCGGAGAGCUUGCUCUCUUGGCGGCUAGUGCCGGACGGCUGAGUAAUAUAUCGGAACGUGCCCAGGAACGGGGGAUAUCUACUCGUAAGAGUGCCCCUUACCGCAUUCGCCCUACGGGGGAGCCCUGGGGAUCGCUGACCUCUCACUAUUGGAGCGGCCGAUAUCGGACUACCUUGUUGGUGGGGUAUAGGGUCACCAAGGCCACGAUCCGUAACUGGUUUGAGAUGACGACCAGCCAUGAUGGGACUGACAGACGGCCCAAACUCCUACGGGAGGCAGCAGUGGGGAAUUUUGGACAAUGGGGGAAACCCUGAUCCAGCCAUCCCGCGUGUAUGAUGAAGGCCUUCGGGUUGUAAAGUACUUUUGGCAGAGAAGAAAAGGUAUCCCCUAAUACGGGAUACUGCUGACGGUAUCUGCAGAAUUCCUGCGGCUAACUACGUGCCACCAGCCGCGGUAAUACUUGUUCGUGCUUACGUUAAUCGGAAUUACUGGGCGUAAAGCGUGUGUACGCGGUUCGGAUCGAAAGAUGUGAAAUCCCAAGGCUCAACCUUGGAACUGCAUCUUUUAACUGCCGAGCUAGAGUAUGUCAUAGGAGGGGUAGAAUUCCACGUCGUAGCAUUGAAAUGCGUAGAUAUGUGGAGGAAUACCGAUGGCGAACGCAUCCCCCUGCGAUAAUACUGACGCUCAGACACGAAAGCGUGUGGAGCACACUGGAUUACAUACCCUGAUACUACCACGCGCUAAACGAUGUCGAGUAGAUGCUUGGGGCCGUUAGGCUAUAGUAUCAGCAGCUUACGCGUGGAGGUGACCGUCUGGAGGAGUACGGUCCCAAGAUUAUGACUCAGACGAAUUGACGGGGACCCGCACAUGCGGUGGAUCGAUGUGGAUUAAUCGAUGCUACGCGACAUUCCUUNCCUAACCUUGACUUGGNUGGAA